GCGGUGCGGCAUGAGGCGCGCUAGACUAGACUCCUUGUUCAUUCGAGGUUUUCGUCAGCUCGUCGUAGCUUUCCGAGAUUACUCGCAACAUUGUAUCUGAUCGUCAAUAGAAAAAGAAAGCUUUGCCUAGGCCCACGGUGGACGCUAAUUGUUUGUACUGAGGUUGUAACAAUAAAUAACUAAGGGGUUUUGGGGAGAACAGAGCAGCUUCUUUAUUAAUGAUGAACGAGAAUAGUAAUUAACAGAACAGAAAACCAAAAGUACAGAACGGAGAACCAGAAAAUAUAGAACAGAAAACCAGAAAAUACAAAGCCGACAACCAAAAGUACAGAACGGAUAACCAAAAGUACAGAACGGAGAACCAAACGUACAGAAUGGAAAACCAGAAAAUAAGAUAUAAAGAGUUAGACAGCAAUUCUCUCUUAAAUUCUCUGAGUAGUGUCUUAGGGUCUGGACCUAUAGGCAAGGAGCUGAUCUAGGGUUCUCUUUGUCUCUCUUACGAUUUCUCCUUUCUGCCCUUCUAAAUUUAACGGGCUAGGCCGAGCUGUGAUGGCCCGAGAUGACAUGUCGUUGGGCCGAGCAGUCUUUAUUUGGGACGAGCCGUCAGUCUGAUGGGUUGUUGUUCUGAUGGGUCGCUCUUUCUUGUUUGGAGCUGAUAAUAGGUUUUUUAGUCAAUUAUCCUAAAACACCAAUCAUAUCGUUGUAGUAUUUUAGGUUGUCAAUCCAAAUGGGUGUGAUGCUAAUAAUCAAGAUGUGAUCAGAAGUCACUAAGUCAAACCAAGCAAUAACAGGUUUUGGUGUGUUCUAGCAGUUCUAAGUGAACAUGAAGAAAACAGAAAUUCAAGCAGAAACAAUAAAACACUCGACCAACACAGCUCUUUGCAGAGCACUGGGUGGGAUCGAGUGACAGGUCGAGUAACAGACAUAAAGUAUAACAGGGAUACUCGACUGCACAGUCUGUUGCCCGACAACUGGGUGGUCGAGUAUCAGGUCGAGUAACAGUAAAGAAUUGCAGAAACUAAGGAACAGAUGACAAGAUGCAGUAAACAACAGUAGAGUAAACAAAGAAUUCAAUCAGAUAAAGAAUUCCCGAGGAUGGGGUAAUUGAGUAGUUUCGUUUCCUCAGUUUACAGGUGAUUGACAUGCUCAAUAAAUUUACCCUAGACAACAAGUUCAUUAACCAUAUCUAAGUGCCACCGCAACAGAGACUCUCAAGUUAACCUAGUCCCAGACUCAAUCACCAUUGACGAGAGCUAACCUAACAGGCAUUACGAAUCAACAAGUUAAAGCCAAAACGCUCCCUGCAACCAAUACCUUGGUACAGGGUCACGAAUCUCUGGAAUUAGUGGUUCAAACAUUUCAUCGAACACCUUUUGGGCGCGGAAAUGUCUUGGCUCAAAUUCCAGUUGAUCAGAAAGCAAUAGGCAUUAAGAACAACUAAUCCAGAAGGGAUCUAUCAACCAAUACUCAAUCACCUAGCAUACUGAGAAUUCUACACUACUCUAACCCAUCCUCAGAAAUCUAUUCACUACUCAGACAUCAUAACAGAAAGCAUAAACGUUGAACAGGUUGAAGACAUGAUAACAACAGUGUAAUAGCAGGAUGAUAACAUAAUGAACAACAGCAAACGAAAAUCAAGAACAAAAACUGAAUACUGAAUACUGAAUAUAUAAAGAGAAAUCCGGAUUACAAAUGGUCUAGAACACAAGGUCUGCGGAAAUAAAACUAGAUAAAAACUUCUUGUCUGCGAAAAUGUGAAGUACAUGCUACUUAUAGCCAAAUAUUCUGAAACCCUAAUACUUAAAACGACGAAGUAUUGGGACGGAUUAAGAACUGUACUCGACCCAUGUGGUCGAGUGAGAGGUCGAGUGAAUAGUUGGAGUCUUCUUUUCUUCCCUGUGCUCGAGUGUCUGGUUGAGUGCGGAAUGAAGAAGGCUCUGAAGCUUGUCAUCGAGUAUGCAGUCGAGUGGUGUGAUGGUGAUACUCGACUUCCGGGUAGAGUGAUGAGGUCGAGUAGUGGUCUGGCAAUGGGAUGAAGAUCGAGUGGUGUGAUGGUGAUACUCGACGUGAUCGAGUGGUGGUCAGAAGAUGGAGAUGAAGGCACUCGACCUGGGGGUCGAGUGAUGUGAUCGAGUGGUGGUCAGAAGAUGGAGAUGAAGUCACUCGACCUGGGGGUCGAGUGAUGUGAUUGAGUGGUGGUGUCUUCUACUCGGCCUAGGGGUCGAGUGGUCUCUUGAGAUCUUGAAGCUCCUACUCGACCUCUAGGUCGAGUGGUUUGUCAUGAUCAGGUCUGCUUCUUCCAGUUAGCUCGUUAACAGCUCCAAAUCACCUGAAAUCAACAUAAAUAUGCAGAAUGCAUGCAACCCUAUCCUAAACAUGUAAAGUGAUGAGAAAUGGUAUAAAACAGUGAUGAUAUGGUGCUAAAGUGAUGACAAAUGGAUGCUCAAAACAUGCAUAUCAACUCCCCCAAACUUAGUCUUUGCUUGCCCUCAAGCAAACAAAAGAACAAGCUGGAGGUGAGAUUUGAAAGCGGGGAUCAGAGCCAAAGCACCAGAUAAACCAGAUGAAAUCAAUGUCCAAGUUGAAAGUUCUAAGCUGCAAGAUCGAAUUCUACUUAAAAACGUUAGCCAUGCCUCAUUAUCAAUCAAUCUGACUCAUAUGCUCGACCUACACAUGUUUUCAAAUCUACCAAUCCCUUUAACAUUCAUUAGUUCUGGAACGUGAAUCAAGCAAUGCAUCAUCAAAGAACUCAUUUGGCUAAGGUAAAAGGUCAAGAGACAAAGAUGGUCCCUUACAGAAUAGGCUUCGGUAACAGGGGAUCUCUCAAAAAAUGAUUAAGCUUUAGUAGAAUGCUAAAGGUAAGUCCCAAGCUAUGCAUACAGAGAUAAGAUCCCAUCUACCCAGAGUAUAUCAAAUGAAGCUCUAAUGGUAAUCCCAUCUCCAAUCCCAAUAUAAGAAGUUAACUCUACCAUUUGCAUUCAUGAAUCUUUUAAGCCCUUUUUCUAAUCAUUCUUUUCUUUUCUCUUAACUCUGGGAGAAGCUUUUUCAACACUUUGUUACAUCUAGCGGAUUUGGAUUUCUUUAACAACUAAGGUUCCUGUUUUUAACAUUUUAAAACCAAGGGCUUUUGCCCAUCUCCAAUAGCUAACAAGAACUCUUUCUUUUCUUUACAAAUCCCAAAACCUUUACUAGACUUUUUUUGCUUCUUUAGCUUACUUCACCUAGAGUCCUUUACCUUUUCUCAUCAAUGAAUCAACCGCUUUUUUUCUUUUAAACACAUCCCAGCCCAAAGUAUAAGCGCCCACCUAGUCCUAUCUAGUCCGAAAAAUGCGAACUAGAACUACAUGAGACACUAUCUCUGUCGUUACGAACCUAACAUUUUCUACCAAGCUUAAUCGGAAUAAGACCUCACAAACACUCACAAGUGAUAUAGGGCUUGAAAGAAAGUCUAGGUUUGGAUUUGGGUUAACUGCUCUAAUAAGGAGAGUUAGCUACUUGGAUUAACAAGAGUGAUCAAAAUGAAUAAGAAAAUCCAAGUAUUUUAGGGUAUCCAUGAGUUCAAAUUUGAUUCAGACAUGAUAAUUAAAGAUCAGAUUCAGGUUCAAAUUGAUAGGGAAUGGUAUCAGAUCAUGACAGUGUGGUCGAGUAGAGCAAUCUAGGCAUGGUUCAGUUUUAUUUCAAAUUCAUUGAUUACGCAACAAACAACUAGCAACGAGGGCACUGAGAUUAUCCGGUGAAUCAAAAUGCUUACAAGGCUAUCUCAUCAUCAUCCCCUAUGCAUAUGCAACAAUCCUAAAUGAAACACUCUAGACUCGAUCCUAAAUGUGAUGCAACUACAUGAACACUCUUUUUUUGUGAAAUCAUUUUCUGAAAUUUUUCAAAUUUUUUUGGUUUUUCUAUGCCUUAGAUGAAUGCAGACUCAAAAAUAUACACAAUGCAACACACACUUCCUGAGCCCUCCCCCAAACUUAAAUCACACAGUCCACUGUGCGAAUAAACUUGGAAGAGAGUACUCAGGACAAAUCCAAUCACAGAAACAAAAAAAAAUGAAGAAACAAAUCACAACAGAUGAUAUAAUACAAUGGUGAAGUGAGGCGCUUACCUCAGUCGAAGAAUGAACGUAGUUGCUCGUCAAUGGCUGCCUGUGAUUGCUCUCAGGCCAUAGACGAACCACCUUGUUCUGUAUCAGCUCCAGCAGGUGGUUACUCGACCUCAUCAGCUCUAUGGCGGCCAACACCACCAUGAGUAUACUCGACCUCCAUUCUUCUGCUGCGGCCAGCACCGCAGUCGAGUGAUCUCCUGCCAUGGAUAAGCCAAAACAUGGUCGAGUAUCCUUCAUUGCUCUGUGGUCGAGUAUUGUGUUGUACUCUCAGAGCCAGAAUCCACUUCACUCAGCUCUUUAUACUUAUCUCCUGAAAACACUAACCAAAUGCAUCAAAAACAACAAGGAAAAAUAAAGAUAUGUACAAAGAUAGACAAGGGAUUUGCUCCCAU
rnacentral:sRNA from 1 species